rnacentral:rRNA from 1 species
AUUGAACGCUGGCGGCAGGCUUAACACAUGCAAGUCGAGCGGGGGAAGGUAGCUUGCUACUGGACCUAGCGGCGGACGGGUGAGUAAUGCUUAGGAAUCUGCCUAUUAGUGGGGGACAACAUCUCGAAAGGGGUGCUAAUACCGCAUACGUCCUACGGGAGAAAGCAGGGGAUCUUCGGACCUUGCGCUAAUAGAUGAGCCUAAGUCGGAUUAGCUAGGUGGGGGGGUAAAGGCCUACCAAGGCGACGAUCUGUAGCGGGUCUGAGAGGAUGAUCGGCGACAUUGGGACUGAGACACGGCCCAGACUCCUCCGGGAGGCAGCAGUGGGGAAUAUUGGACAAUGGGGGGAACCCUGAUCCAGCCAGGCCGCGUGUGUGAAGAAGGCCUUAUGGUUGUAAAGCACUUUAAGCGAGGAGGAGGCUACUUUAGUUAAUACCUAGAGAUAGUGGACGUUACUCGCAGAAUAAGCACCGGCUAACUCUGUGCCAGCCGCCGCCGUAA